GAUGAAGAACGUAGCGAAAUGCGAUAAGUAAUGUGAAUUGCAGAAUUCAGUGAAUCAUCGAAUCUUUGAACGCACAUUGCGCCCUCUGGUAUUCCGGGGGGCAUGCCUGUUCGAGCGUCAUUACAACCCUCAAGCUUUGCUUGGUAUUGGACAUUGCCAGUUUCUGGCAGGUCUUAAAAUCAGUGGCGGUGCCAUUUGGCUUCAAGCGUAGUAAUUCUUCUCGCUUUGGAGAUCCAGGUGGUUACUUGCCAAUAACCCCCAAUUUUUUCAGGUUGACCUCGGAUCAGGUAGGGAUACCCGCUGAACUUAAGCAUAUCAAUAAGCGGGGGA
rnacentral:misc_RNA from 1 species